GACGAACGCUGGCGGCGUGCUUAACACAUGCAAGUCGAACGGAAAGGCCCUGCUUUUGUGGGGUGCUCGAGUGGCGAACGGGUGAGUAACACGUGAGUAACCUGCCCUUGACUUUGGGAUAACUUCAGGAAACUGGGGCUAAUACCGGAUAGGAGCUCCUGCUGCAUGGUGGGGGUUGGAAAGUUUCGGCGGUUGGGGAUGGACUCGCGGCUUAUCAGCUUGUUGGUUGGGUAGUGGCUUACCAAGGCUUUGACGGGUAGCCGGCCUGAGAGGGUGACCGGCCACAUUGGGACUGAGAUACGGACCAGACUCCUACGGGAGGCAGCAGUGGGGAAUAUUGCACAAUGGGCGGAAGCCUGAUGCAGAAACGCCGCGUGCGGGAUGACGGCCUUCGGGUUGUAAACCGCUUUCGCCUGUGACGAAGCGUGAGUGACGGUAAUGGGUAAAGAAGCACCGGCUAACUACGUG
rnacentral:rRNA from 1 species